GAUCUACUUUGUAGAGCAAUAUGCAGAUCCGAUUAAGGGUAAAGAAGAAGCACAUCUCUUCAAUCAUUUAUUUUAAGUAAAAUUGCGCAAUAAUACCAAAGUAAAGCUUGAACUUUAAUGCCGCUCCGUAUUUUUGAAUAUCUUCAGAAAAAAAUACCUUAAUGCAGAAGACGCCCUAUAUAAGCAGGUGAAUCUCGAGUUAAAUAUUCGCUGUGGAAUCGCAAACAUGUUCAAUAAACGCCGACGAGGGCAGGCGACUUGCCGUCAUGAGCAUUCGUAGCCUUAUUGUGUGUGUACGUGCGCCGGGGGAAUACUUCGGUAGACGAGCAUACGGCCACCUGAUGAUGGGAAGUUACCAUCGCUUAUGGAUCUCAGCAAUGCCAGGGGCACAGCCAAGUUGCUGCCUACCAUAAAAUGCGCUUAUAAAUAAAUACACACAUACAAUUUACAUAAAUUAGUUUGAUCAUAUCUUACAAGAUUCAUGUUUGUAAUCAAAUUUGAGUGAAUAAAUU